UACUGUUAUCACCCAACUUGUUCUUCAGUAGUGUCACAUGGAAGAUUGGAUGGACUUUUGAGCCUCUAGGUAAUGCCAAUUGAUAGGAUAUUGCUCCUACCUUCUUAAUAACUUGAUAUGGGCCAAAACACCUAGCACUUAGUUUAUGGUUAGCUUCGUGUUCCGCUGACUUUUGUGCAUAGNGGGUCGGGCUUUAGGAUUAGACGUUUUGGUUUUGUUUCAAUCGAUACUGAAGUUUUCCAGCUCAUCGGAAGCCAUUUACUGGGUCCAGGAAGCCGUCUGAUCAAGAACAAAGCAUCUCAGGUUCGGGUACCGCUGCUUAAAACCCCGAUUUGCUUACACGACGGGACUUCACUUGAAUUACGUGUCAAGAGAAUUGAGCUGUUGAUGUAGACUUCAUGGAAUUUCUGUCUUGAAGGGAUGAGCAGUUAUUGUAUUAUUAAAGAUUUUAUUUUAACUUUCUUCUUUUUUCUUUUUCCCUUGGGGGGUCAGGGGGAUUGGAUUCUCUCCAUGUAAUUUCAAAUUUGAAACUUGUGUAAUUUUGAAUUUAACAGAUUAGUUUCUAGGUUUGAUAAUUAUCAAAAUUGUCUCAACUUUCACGAUCCUUUAUGCGAAAGUCUUGACUUCACCAACCAAGAUCUUACAUCCUAAUACUAUAUUGAGAAGAUAAAUUAAUUUUUUGAAAUCUUAAACUCAA
rnacentral:lncRNA from 1 species